rfam:Felis catus isolate Cinnamon breed Abyssinian chromosome A2, whole genome shotgun sequence.
GCCUGGGUGGCUCAGUCGGUUGAGCGUCCGACUUUGGCUCAGGUCAUGAUCUCGCGGUUGGUGGGUUCGAGCCCCGCAUCGGGCU